rnacentral:rRNA from 1 species
GAUGAACGCUGGCGGCGUGCCUAAUACAUGCAAGUCGAGCGAACAGACGAGGAGCUUGCUCCUCUGACGUUAGCGGCGGACGGGUGAGUAACACGUGGAUAACCUACCUAUAAGACUGGGAUAACUUCGGGAAACCGGAGCUAAUACCGGAUAAUAUAUUGAACCGCAUGGUUCAAUAGUGAAAGACGGUUUUGCUGUCACUUAUAGAUGGAUCCGCGCCGCAUUAGCUAGUUGGUAAGGUAACGGCUUAACAAGGCAACGAUGCGUAGCCGACCUGGGAGGGUGGUCGGCCACAAUGGAACUGAGACACGGUCCAGACGCCUACGGGAAGCAGCAGUAGGGAAUCUUCCGCAAUGGGCGAAAGCCUGACGGAACAACGCCGCGUGAGUGAUGGAAGUCUUCGGAUCGGAAAACUCUGUUUUUAGGGAAGAACAAUUUUUUAAGUAACUAUGCACGACUUGACGGUACCUAAUCAAAAAGCCACGGCUAACUACGUG